UAUAUUAUAGAGUGAUCAAAUAAUCUUUCUAACUUAUACAUGCAAAUGAAGAAAAAAAAUGACUAAAAUAAUCAAGCUUGCGUAUAUUAUUAUGAUCCUAUUUCUUUCCCCAAUUCUUGUUGUAGCUGAAUUAGCUCCAUUUCAUUUGUGCAAACAUGACAUGGAUUGUCUAUGGCAAAACUGUUCUCCGGGUAAAGUUGGAGUGUGCAUUUACAGAUUGUGUUACUGCAAUAACAGUUAUUUUCCCGAUGAUCGUUGAAAUAAAUUGAUUAAGCUUCGCAUGUGAGAGCGGAGUACUGGCUUGUGCAUAGCUUUAUGUUUUAAGUUUAUUAGUAUUUUUAGCUUUUUAGAUCUUUGAUUAUUAUUUUGUAGAUUCUUGAGGUCAAAAACAUAUUGUCUAUAAAAUAAAAUGUGACAAGGCAACAUGUAUUGAAUUUUAAUUUCAGUGAGAAUUUCUAAGAUAUAUGCUUACAUAAAGUUGUUUCCUUGAAUAUCACUAGUUUAGGAGAAUCCUUGUUAUUAUUUAAUUAAAUUUUUUUAUCCCAAUUGUAACUUUAAUGAGUUUUGUAAGACUCGCCUUUAUUACGUGUAGAAAGUUGUUGUUGGUUUG